rnacentral:rRNA from 1 species
GUACGGGAGGCAGCAGUGGGGAAUAUUGGACAAUGGGCGAAAGCCUGAUCCAGCCAUGCCGCGUGGGUGAAGAAGGCCUUAGGGUUGUAAACCCCUUUCAGCGGGGAAGAUAAUGACGGUACCCGCAGAAGAAGUCCCGGCUAACUCCGUGCCAGCAGCCGCGGUAAUACGGAGGGGACUAGCGUUGUUCGGAAUUACUGGGCGUAAAGCGCACGUAGGCGGAUUUGUAAGUCAGGGGUGAAAUCCCGGGGCUCAACCCCGGAACUGCCUUUGAUACUGCGAAUCUCGAGUCCGGAAGAGGUGAGUGGAAUUCCUAGUGUAGAGGUGAAAUUCGUAGAUAUUAGGAAGAACACCAGUGGCGAAGGCGGCUCACUGGUCCGGUACUGACGCUGAGGUGCGAAAGCGUGGGGAGCAAACAGGAUUAGAUACCCCGGU